GACGAACGCUGGCGGCGUGCUUAACACAUGCAAGUCGAACGGAAAGGCCCUGCUUUUGUGGGGUGCUCGAGUGGCGAACGGGUGAGUAACACGUGAGUAACCUGCCCUUGACUUUGGGAUAACUUCAGGAAACUGGGGCUAAUACCGGAUAGGAGCUCCUGCUGCAUGGUGGGGGUUGGAAAGUUUCGGCGGUUGGGGAUGGACUCGCGGCUUAUCAGCUUGUUGGUGGGGUAGUGGCUUACCAAGGCUUUGACGGGUAGCCGGCCUGAGAGGGUGACCGGCCACAUUGGGACUGAGAUACGGCCCAGACUCCUACGGGAGGCAGCAGUGGGGAAUAUUGCACAAUGGGCGGAAGCCUGAUGCAGAAACGCCGCGUGCGGGAUGACGGCCUUCGGGUUGUAAACCGCUUUCGCCUGUGACGAAGCGUGAGUGGCGGUAAUGGGUAAAGAAGCACCGGCUAACUACGUG
rnacentral:rRNA from 1 species